rnacentral:rRNA from 1 species
CGCAGCCGCGGUAAUUCUAGCUCCAACAGCGUAUAUUAAAGUUGUUGCAGUUAAAAAGCUCGUAGUUGAAAUUUCGGGAUUUAUCCGUCGGUCGGGCUUUUGGGUCUGUACUGGCGUGAUGGAAUUCCUACCUUCUGAAUAACCAGCAUGCCAUUAAUUUGGUGCGCCGGGGAAGCAGGACUGUUACCUUGAAAAAAUUAGAGUGCUUAAAGCAGGCUAUUGCCUGAAUACAUUAGCAUGGAAUAAUGAAAUAGGACGGCAUGGUUCUAUUUUGUUGGUUUCUAGGAUCACCGUAAUGAUUAAUAGGGAUAGUUGGGGGCAUUAGUAUUCAAUUGUCAGAGGUGAAAUUCUUGGAUUUAUUGAAGACUAACUUCUGCGAAAGCAUUUGCCAAGGAUGUUUUCAUUAAUCAAGAACGAAAGUUAGGGAUCGAAGACGAUCAGAUACCGUCGUAGUCUUAGCCAUAAACUAUGCCGACUAGGGAUCGGACGAUGUUAAUUUUUUAAUGACUCGUUCGGCGCC